rnacentral:rRNA from 1 species
GGAAUAUUGCGCAAUGGGCGAAAGCCUGACGCAGCCACGCCGCGUGAGCGAUGAAGGCCCUAGGGUCGUAAAGCUCUGUGGAGGGAGAAGAAUAAAGCCGUUGAAGAGACGGCCUUGACGGUAUCCCUUUAGCAAGCACCGGCUAACUCCGUGCCAGCCGCCGCGGUAAUACGGAGGGUGCAAACGUUGCUCGGAAUCAUUGGGCGUAAAGCGCACGUAGGCGGCUUGGCAAGUUGGAUGUGAAAGCCCUGGGCUCAACCCAGGAAGUGCAUCCAAAACUGCCUGGCUCGAGUUCCGAAGGGGGCCAGAGAAUUCCCGGUGUAGAGGUGAAAUUCGUAGAUAUCGGGAGGAAUACCAGUGGCGAAGGCGCUGGCCUGGUCGGAGACUGACGCUGAGGUGCGAUAGCGUGGGGAGCAAAC